rnacentral:rRNA from 3 species
AGCCCUCGCUUUUCUGUACCGUAAGGUGGUACAGGAACAAGGACUGGGCAAGACCGGUGCCAGCCGCCGCGGUAAUACCGGCAGUCCAAGUGAUGGCCGAUAUUAUUGGGCCUAAAGCGUCCGUAGCUUGCUGUGUAAGUCCAUUGGGAAAUCGACCAGCUCAACUGGUCGGCGUCCGGUGGAAACUACACAGCUUGGGGCCGAGAGACUCAACGGGUACGUCCGGGGUAGGAGUGAAAUCCUGUAAUCCUGGACGGACCACCAAUGGGGAAACCACGUUGAGAGACCGGACCCGACAGUGAGGGACGAAAGCCAGGGUCUCGAACCGGAUUAGAUACCCGGGUAGUCCUGGCUGUAAACAAUGCUCGCUAGGUAUGUCACGCGCCAUGAGCACGUGAUGUGCCGUAGUGAAGACGAUAAGCGAGCCGCCUGGGAAGUACGUCCGCAAGGAUGAAACUUAAAGGAAUUGGCGGGGGAGCACCACAACCGGAGGAGCCUGCGGUUUAAUUGGACUCAACGCCGGACAUCUCACCGGUCCCGACAGUAGUAAUGACGGUCAGGUUGACGACUU